UGGGCCUGUGGGAACAAAAAAUGAGUCAGUAUACAAAUGCACCACCUCAAUGGUGGUGUAUUUGUAUUGGGACGACCGCGAUGGUCGCCCCAAUACAUAAAAAGUCAGCUAAAGAUCUUCCGGAAAACUAUCGCCCUAUCUCUCUUACCUGUAUCAGCUGCAAGAUCAUGGAACACAUUGUUCUCAGCAAUCUGAACAAACACAUAUCAUGUAACAACAUAUUAUCAAUAUUUCAACAAGCUUUCGUGCGGGUUUGUUUGUGAGACCCAACUAGUCCUCACAUUUCAUGACUGGGCAACCGUGCUAAACCAUGGCCAAGUGGAUGCUCUGCUCCUAGACUACAGUAAAGCUUAUGACAAAGUGUCACACCCAAAGCUUUCGAAAAAGCUCUCUUGUUAUGGCAUCAGGGGAAAACAUUGGCUUGGAUAUCUGGUUUCCUAAAUAAGAGGUCCCAGUAUGUGGCAGCCAAUGGCACCCACUUUGAUAAAGUACAAGUAACAUCAGGAGUACCAAAGGGUUUCGAACUGGGACCGACCCUGUUUUUGCUGUAUAUCAACGAUAUCUGUAAAGCAUCAAAUUCUCAAAUCAGGCUAUUUGCAGAUGACACCAUCAAAUACCGCCCAAUCACAUCCAUGGAUGACCAUACUGCACUUCAAGAUGAUCUGGAUAAUGUACUUGAUUGGUCAGCAGCUUGGCAGAUGGAGUUUAAUGUAACCAAGUGUUACUUGUUGUCAGUCACCAAGAAGCGGAGACCGUCAUGUUAUCAGUAUACAGCAAGUACGGAGUUCUUUGCCCAAGUAUGAGAUCAAGAUUACCUAGGAGUACGGUGUAAUGAGCAACUGCGCUGGGGCCCUCACUGUGCCAAAAUAGCUACAAAGGCCAACAGAACACUGGGUGCGAUCAGAAGAACUUUAAAACCCUGUGCCACUGCAGUUAAGAAACGUGCGCACCUCUCCCUUGUUAGACCGAUGCUUGAGUAUGCGUCAACAUCCUGGAGUCCUUACACUGACACAGAUGUUUUGCGGUUGGAGCAAGUUCAGAAGAACGCUGCUCGUUUUGUCUGCAACAAUUAUAACUACCAAGCAAGAUCAUCUUAACUGGUUAACCAGCUAAACUGGGACACAUUGGAAAUAAGGCGACUUUACCAUCAAAUAGUAUUACUGUAUAAAUUUUAUAAUAAUCUCGUGGCUUGUCCUCUCCCUAGCUGUGUCGUUCCGACAAAUCGAUCCACUCGGAGGCACUCACUUAGCUUUCAACAAUUGCACUCGAAUAUUCUUUCCUUUAAUUAUUUUUUUUUUCCUAGAGCAAUAAGAGCAUGGAAUUUACUUCCUGAUAAUAUUGUAAACCUAAGUAAUCUGGAGUCCUUUAAAACAGCAGCUUUGCCAGCCAUCAGGCAACUAAAGGUGCCUCCGCAUCUCCGCCGGCUGUAAACUGACCGUGCCCUUCCCAGUAUUAGCGUAAGCUACUUUAUACUAUUGUAUAGGGGAGUAAUUUAUUAAAGUAAUGAACGAAUCUUUUGGAGUUUUAAAGAAGCCUAUAACUUCAUUCAUUGGGACCGUAAAGUAUAUUAAAACUACACUAUCUCUACCGACAAGGCUGGGGCCUAAUCUACUUGAAUCAAUAUUCUAGUGGCUUGGGGAAAAAGUGAGGUAAUCCGUUCUAAAACAUUCUUAAAACAUCAUUGUCCAAAGUUAUCGAAAAAAUCAUGUUGAAGGCG